rnacentral:lncRNA from 1 species
UAAAAUGAACAACUUUUAAUUAAAUGUGGGGUUGGGGUUAGGGUUUGAUUUAAUGGUGAGAAUAAAUGGUUAGAAAUGUGGGGUUGGGGCUGGAUAAUAUGAUGACUGUAACAUCUCUUGUUGGAAUGUUGACGGUCCUAAAUCUUUUUCACAUAAAAUAUACACACAUGAUGGUGAGUAUAGUAAAUUAAUAACAAUGCAAUAUCAGAUGAACACGCUCAUAAGUUUAGGUAUCAAUAUUGAUGGGGGUGAAACCCGACCAGUACUCCAAGACGCGCAAGCAAGCGCCAAGCGGGGAACUCCAAGGGAAACCGGACCGGGACUCAAGUGCGCAGAGCUCUGCUUCGCUAGGAAUCCUUCUUCUCCAAAUGACUUGCCUCUAAUGAGUGGGGGGUGCCCUCUAUUUAUAGGGGUUCUUAUGGGGGCAAUAUGGUCAUUUGGGCAGUAACUGCCUAACUGCCCAACUGAUCAGAUUGGGUCCAGGGGUCGACUUUCCAGAGAUCGACUUUCUGGGGGUCGACUUUCCAGAGAUCGACUUUCUGGGGGUCGACUUUCCUGGUACUAUGGUCUGUGUGUCGGACCUUGUACUAUCAGUAUUCCCCCCUCUUUGCGUGCUGGGAUAUGGAUUUUUGGUGAUGUCCCAGGAUGCAAGAUCCUCUCUCACCAG